CCUACGGGAGGCUGCAGUGGGGAAUAUUGCACAAUGGGGGAAACCCUGAUGCAGCGACGCCGCGUGAGUGAAGAAGUAUUUCGGUACGUAAAGCUCUAUCAGCAGGGAAGAAAAUGACGGUACCUGACUAAGAAGCCCCGGCUAACUACGUGCCAGCAGCCGCGGUAAUACGUAGGGGGCAAGCGUUAUCCGGAUUUACUGGGUGUAAAGGGAGCGUAGACGGCAGCGCAAGUCUGGAGUGAAAUCCCAUGGCUUAACCAUGGAACUGCUUUGGAAACUGUGCAGCUAGAGUGCAGGAGAGGUAAGCGGAAUUCCUAGUGUAGCGGUGAAAUGCGUAGAUAUUAGGAGGAACACCGGUGGCGAAGGCGGCUUACUGGACUGUAACUGACGUUGAGGCUCGAAAGCGUGGGGAGCAAACAGGAUUAGAUACCCUGGUAGUC
rnacentral:rRNA from 1 species